rnacentral:rRNA from 1 species
UACGAAGGGUGCAAGCGUUACUCGGAAUUACUGGGCGUAAAGCGUGCGUAGGUGGUUCGUUAAGUCUGAUGUGAAAGCCCUGGGCUCAACCUGGGAAUGGCAUUGGAAACUGGCGACCUAGAGUGCGGUAGAGGGUAGUGGAAUUCCCGGUGUAGCAGUGAAAUGCGUAGAGAUCGGGAGGAACAUCCGUGGCGAAAGCGACUACCUGGACCAGCACUGACACUGAGGCACGAAAGCCGGGGGAGCAAACGGG